rnacentral:lncRNA from 1 species
AGAAGUUCAUGUCUGGAACUGAAUGUUGUGGCUCACUACCAUCCGUAAUCAGAGUUAAUUUCCUUUCUGUGACAGCAUCUGUGCUCAUGUUCCCCUUAGUCGUACAGGAAUUCGUUUGCUUGAAAUUGCAAUUUCAAGCCCUCUGGGGUGCAAUUCUCUCUCAAAUAUACCUGUACAGUGUCUAUUGAAGUCAAUGGGGUGCCUGCAUAUCCCAGGCCAACUAUGAGGCACUUAUCUUAUAAAAAGGACUACUUGAAACAAUAAGAUUAGAGCUCUGAGGAACACUUGACUCAAGACCUGUGUGCAAUUAAAAUCAGUUUUUCUCUGAAUGCAAUCUGUUCAUGAAUCAGCAGUGGUUGAUUCAUAUUUUUGUGUAAACAAAUUUUUCUCAGUGAUGGAUAAUUAACUCUUUUGCUUUCAGGAAGUAUCCACAAACACUUUGUGGCAGCUGCUCAUUGGUGUAUUUUGAGUUUGAACAGAGUUAAUUGCCAUAGUCAUCACGGGAAUUCAAAUGGCAUUUCUCCUAUAUCCUGAUUGGCUAAACUUACUCCCUUUGUGAUCAGGAGAGUGAGCAGAGGCCAUUAUAACUUGGCUUUUGGGGGAGAGACUAUAUGGCUCUCUCACCUAGUUUUGACCAACAUUUAAUCUUUAUUUCUUGUGAUAAUUUGUCACACAAACAAAUUACUGUUUGUGCACAGAGGGACGGUGUUUUCCUUUUGGUAAAGUGCCAAAAGAUGUAGUAUUUCAUUUUGCAGUGUAGUUGUAUCUGUGUUGGUCCCAGGAUAUUAGAGAAAGAAGGUGGGUGAGAUAACAAGGAGGGUCUUGGAAAGACCUGAAGAAGAGCUCAAAAGCUUGUCCCUCUCAUCAACAGAAGUUGGUCCAAUAAAAGAUAUUACCUCACCCACUUUGUCUCUUUAUUUUGCAGGAUAUUUGCUCCACACAGCAAAGGGCCCUACAUGAGAUCCACUUCCCUAUCCAGAAAUGCAGCAGCAGGCUUCGCUUACCUGGAAUAACUUAAAAGUAUUCAUUCUGUUAGCUAGGGGAAACUGGGUUAGCCUUCUGAUUCAGUAUGAAAAGACAUCUGUUCUGGAACAAUUACCAGCUUCUCCACACUUCCUAUGCUCAAAGUUGCCAGCUGCAGGAUUUGAAUUGAAAAUACCAGGAAUGAUUUUGUGUCUAAGUGCAUGAACUGCAUCUGCAAAUUACAUCCUGUUUGAAAUAUUUUGUGGUUUAAUCUAGUUUCAUCUAAACAAGUCGCUGUCACUGGCUUGAGGUGAAGCGUAGAUGAAGAGAGGCUGUGAAAAUCCCUCCCCAACAGUUCAGCAGCUGUACCACAAACUUAGUUUUUAGCAACCUUCCUAUUACACACAAGUCUCUACAACAGUCUCAGAAAUAUGCCCAAACAGACUCUUAUACAGAGACCUUUGACAAUAAAUAUGGAUCAAAUUUAGAAUGUGUCA